AUUGAACGCUGGCGGCAUGCCUUACACAUGCAAGUCGAACGGCAGCACGGGAGCAAUCCUGGUGGCGAGUGGCGAACGGGUGAGUAAUAUAUCGGAACGUGCCCAGUCGUGGGGGAUAACGUAGCGAAAGCUACGCUAAUACCGCAUACGAUCUAUGGAUGAAAGCGGGGGAUCGCAAGACCUCGCGCGAUUGGAGCGGCCGGUAUCAGAUUAGGUAGUUGGUGAGGUAAAGGCUCACCAAGCCGACGAUCUGUAGCUGGUCUGAGGGGACGACCAGCCACACUGGGACUGAGACACGGCCCAGACUCCUACGGGAGGCAGCAGUGGGGAAUUUUGGACAAUGGGCGCAAGCCUGAUCCAGCAAUGCCGCGUGCAGGAUGAAGGCCUUCGGGUUGUAAACUGCUUUUGUACGGAACGAAACGGUGAGCUCUAAUACAGUUUGCUAAUGACGGUACCGUAAGAAUAAGCACCGGCUAACUACGUGCCAGCAGCCGCCGUAA
rnacentral:rRNA from 1 species